rnacentral:misc_RNA from 1 species
AACGCACAUUGCGCCCCUUGGUAUUCCAUGGGGCAUGCCUGUUCGAGCGUCAUCUAAACCCUCAAGCUCUGCUUGGUGUUGGGCGUCUGUCCCGCCUCUGCGCGUGGACUCGCCCCAAAUGCAUUGGCAGCAGUCUUUGCCUUCCUCUUGUGCAGUACAUUGCGCUUAUAGAGGGGGCAUGGCCUGCGUCCAUGAAGCAACAUCAUCGUCUUUGACCUCGGAUCAGGUAGGGAUACCCGCUGAACUUAA